ACUAAUAAAAAAUCACUAUACAUGCGUUAUGACAAGGUGAUAGUAAUUCAGUGAAUAGAGCUUGUACAGGGCAUAAACUCCUCUUUGACCAAUAAUCGAUGUGUAUUGGUUGAAUAACAAAACGACCCUUAUUUAUUGUUACCCUGGCAACCCACCGUGUUUGAUUGACGUUUGAUUUAAUAAUUUUGAUACGACUCAUAAUUCUAAUCUAAUAGAAACUCCAAAACCUCAGACAAAGAGGACUAGAAUUUUACAUAAAAAGCCGCGUUCUGCAGUACAAAAGUUAGAAGAGGCAUCUCAAAUAGUGGAAAGUGCCAAACUCCGCAACACGGUAGUGUUCCAGUGUUUCCAGGAAGAGCACGAAACAAAACAAAGGCAGAUGGCUGAAACACAUGAGCUCAAACAGAAGCGACUCGCCGAAGCUCACGAAAGGGCUAGACAGAAGCAUCUUCUAAGGCUCAAAUUGUUACAGCAGCAAUUAAAUAAAUAAUUAUAUACUUAUAAAAAAAAUAAAACCCCCGUUUUAAAUGAAA